CAAAGAAACAAGCAAGCGUGAUACUGGCGUGGUUCCUGUGCUCGGCUUCUUUCUUUCUUUCUUUUCUACCAGCAGAUGAGCCGAACCAAUAUCACUCUUGCAUGUUUCUUU
rnacentral:pre_miRNA from 11 species